AGGCGGCCGGCUUUUAACAUGCAAGUCGAGCGGUAACAGAGAUAGCUUGCUAUCUGCUGACGAGCGGCGGACGGGUGAGUAAUGCUUGGGAAUAUGCCUUAUGGUGGGGGACAACAGUUGGAAACGACUGCUAAUACCGCAUAACGUCUACGGACCAAAGGGGGGGAUGCUUCGGCACCUCCCGCCAUUUGAUUAGCCCAAGUGAGAUUAGCUAGUAGGUGAGGUAAGAGCUCACCUAGGCGACGAUCUCUAGCUGGUUUGAGAGGAUGAUCAGCCACACUGGGACUGAGACACGGCCCAGACUCCUACGGGAGGCAGCAGUGGGGAAUAUUGCACAAUGGGCGAAAGCCUGAUGCAGCCAUGCCGCGUGUGUGAAGAAGGCCUUCGGGUUGUAAAGCACUUUCAGCGAGGAGGAAAGGUUAGUGGUUAAUAGCCACUAGCUGUGACGUUACUCGCAGAAGAAGCACCGGCUAACUUCGUGCCAGCAGCCGCGGUAAC
rnacentral:rRNA from 1 species